rnacentral:rRNA from 1 species
GUUUAUCAAAAACAUGUCUUUUUGAAUUUAAUUUAAAGUCUAACCUGCCCACUGAAGUUUUAAAUGGCCGCAGUAUUUUAACUGUGCAAAGGUAGCAUAAUCAUUAGUCUUUUAAUUGAAGGCUGGAAUGAAUGGUUGAAUGAGAUAUUAACUGUUUCAUAUAAAUUAAUAAUAAAAUUUUAUUUUUUAGUUAAAAAGCUAAAAUUUGAUUAAAAGACGAGAAGACCCUAUAAAUCUUUAUAUUUAAUUUUAUAGCUAUUAUAUUGAUUAUUUAAAUUUUUAUAAAAUUAAAUAUUUUAUUGGGGUGAUAUUAAAAUUUAAAUAACUUUUAAUUUAAAUAAUACAAAAAUUAUUGAAUUAUUGAUCCAUAAAUAAUGAUUAGGAAAUUAAGUUACUUUAGGGAUAACAGCGUAAUUUUUUUAGAGAGUUCAUAUUAAUAAAAAAGUUUGCGACCUCGAUGUUGGANUAAGAUAAAAUUU